GGCCAGUUAGCUCAGUUAGUUGAGUGUGGUGCUUACAACACCAAGGUCACGGGUUCGAUUCCCGUUCGGUUCC
rnacentral:tRNA from 1 species